rnacentral:pre_miRNA from 1 species
GAUCUCGAUGAGGUUUGAUCCAUAGGAUCCAUAGGAUCGGACCACGUCGAGAGCAA